rnacentral:lncRNA from 1 species
CCUGUCCAUCUAACAAAUGAUAUAAACAAAUUAGUAGCUAAUUUAUCAAAUAAUAAUAUUAAUAAGAAGCGAGAAUAUGCGAGGAAAUUAACAAAAAAAAUAAAUAAAUUAAUUGACCACGAUUACUUUAAUCCUAGCGGCUACUGGAGUGGGUUAUCAUUUCUCGGAGCGAUAUAACUCAACCGACAAUAUCCCCAAACUUGUAACAGAAAAUGACAUCCAGAUAGUGCUUUUAUAUUUGGGUGUGAUGCCUCACACAAGCCACGAUAAAGGUAAGCCAAAACUGCCGAUCCCCAACUAUAAUUUCUUGUUUCAUUAAAAUCCAUUAACAAAUACAACCAAGAGUUGUGCACAAAUAAUCCAGUUGUAUUAGGAAACAAGAACCCUCCAAAGAGGUAUAGUAGGUACCUCCUGUGUGUUGUAUUUUUACCUCCGGAGGAGAUUGUUCACUGAAGUUAUUAUCGACCAGAUUAUCCUUUAAUCACGACAACGAGAGAGUAAAACCAUCAGUUUUGUGUGCUGGAGGAGUUAUUCCCAACAAUUGAGCACAAUUAUUCCACAGAAGAUUUGGAGGAGCCGUAACAAUUGGUCCUCCAAAAGGUAAGCCGAGUAAAAUAUAUACGUCUUCAAACGUGAUUGUACAUUCACCCGUUCGAAAAUGAAAAGUAUGUGUUUCGGACCGCUAUCUUUCUACAAGAGUGGUUACGAUGUGCCUAUCAAUUUUGUAACGCCCUAUUUGAGAAACCUCAAAAAAUCCAGCUUGACGUAGAUAAUCUUCAAUAUAAGGACUUGGUAUGAUGUUUUGCCGUGUACGAGUGGUUAGAGGUGCACCCUCUGCAUCCUAACAAAAAAUAAUAAAGGAAUAAAAUUAAAACAUAAUCAAAAUAUAAAUUUAAAAAAACGUGAACAUAUUUAAAUUAAUAUUAAAAAAUAAAAAUGACAUUAACAAAUUAAUAUCUAUAUAUACCCAUCUUCUUAUAUGUUCUUCCAUGGAUCUAUGAUCAUUUUCCAACCACAAGUAUGCCAUUGCUUUAUAGAAUUUGAUUGAAAUAAUCUCUUAUGUGAGUGAGUAAGGAAAGGAUUGAGAUAAGUAGAAUAUGUGUAAAGAGUAAAAAUAUAGUUGUGGUAUUUAUAAUGUAAAACUAUGUGUAAAUGGUAGAAGUAGUAGUGUGGUAUUUUAAUCAAUGAAGUGAAGAGUUCCUGUGUUACUACUGCAACGCAUGCAAGCCAACAGUGUUCAAAUAAACAUAGAAAUGACAAUUGCAUCAAUAGCAGAAGCAUGGUGUUCAACAAUAUUGAAUUAAUUCGUAAACUUUGCCUCAUGAGAUGACCAUUGCAUGUAAAAAAUACAUUAAUUUCUUGCAAGAAAUUUUUGACUGAAAUGACCAAUGCAUGUUUUGAUCACGUGAAGCAUGCUAGCAAACAAAUGGCCGACAAGCUGCCUCUGAAUAACCAAUAGGAACGGCGCGUGCAAAUACUACCCCGCCACUCUGGGUUGCGUGGUACCCCCAGCUGGCGCAUGCUUUACAUACCCCGCCACUCCAGCUUGCGUGGUACCCCCCAGCUGGCGCGUGCUUUACCUACCCCGCUACUCUAGCUUGCGUGGUACCCUCUAGCCCGCUAGUCCAAACUGCGUUGUACCUUUUUUAAUUUUCCCGCUCGAAGGGCAGAUUAAAUUACAUGUUAGUAUAAAUAAAAGUGGUCUGCAUGAUAUCAUUGUAUCAAACCAUUCUACUUCAUACUCUUACUCAUUUCUUAAGAUCAAACCAAUUCAAUGGCACCAAAUAUAAACGUUUUUGUGUACUAUAAUGGAGAAGUUAAACAAAAUGAAUCCGGUAUUUUUUUUCAAAGUCAGUAUACCAAAGGUUUUAAAGUCAGCAUGGCUAGUACUUACUUGCAUCUCAAAAGAAGAAUUGCGGAAAAAGUAUGUCUCGAAGAUAAUAUGGUUGUGUCUGAAAUUAUGUGUCGGAAUCCUAUGUUUGUUGGAACUACCACAAUUCAUUACCAGGCGUUAAGAAUAACUGAUAACGACGAUGUCGAGUUUAUGUUUAACGUACAUAAAAGUCACAGUUCUUUGUCCUAUAUAGAGCUUUAUGUUACGUUUGAGAUGAAGAAUCCAACAUCUAAUUUUGAGUUAAAUUACCCAUCGAGUUCUAGUCAACACCAAAGUCUACCACAACACUACAAUCCGUCAUCGUCGCAAGAACACUACAACCCAUCAUCGUCCCAACCGCACUAUAACCCGUCUCCCAUUUAUGAUGCAUCCUUAUCGCAACCUUUUCAGUCAAAGUGGUCACAAAAUGUGUACGAACCAUCACAAAUAAUAACUCAACCUCAUCCCUCUCAAACACCAUCUCGUUCAACACAACCCAAAACCUUAAACGAUGAAAUCAAUAUAUUCACCUCCCAAUUUCAAGACCAACCAAAUGAUGAAGUUCAAGAUGAUGAAGACGAUGAUGAUGAAGAACUCCUUGCCGCACAAAACGGUGACGAGAACGAAGAAGACGAAGACGACGAUCUGCCACUACUACCAAUUUUACCAAUCAGAGCUUCUUACAACCCACCAAGGUCCAUGCGCAACGUCAAUGAUGACCACUCAACUGAACUUUAUCAUUCAAUGGCUCUUCCGGUCGAUCAAGGUAUUGCCCUAGGGAUGCAAUUUCAUAACAAGAAUGAUUGCAUUCUCGCAAUUAAAUUUUAUCACAUGAAAAAAUCAACGGAUUAUAUUGUGAAAAAAUCAGAUCCUGAAAGGUAUGUCAUCAAAUGUAAAGAUACAAAAUGUGGUUUCAAAUUGCGGGCCUCGUGGAGGAAAAAAACUGAUAAAUGGGAGAUUGGGAAAAUGAAUGAUCAUACAUGUGUCUCAACAGAAAUGACGCAAGAUCAUCAUAAACUUAGUUACAAUGUGAUAUGUGAAAGUGUUAAAUCACUACUACAUAUGGAUACUUCAAUUACAGUGAAGGUUAUAAUUGCACACAUCCGAGAGAAGUUUAAUUACACAGUUUCAUACAGAAAGGCAUGGAGAGCACGGAAUAAGGCGAUUAAAUCAAUUUAUAGUAAUUGGGAGGAGUCUUAUGAAGAACUACCACAAUGGUUGAUGGUCAUGGAAAAAGAUUUGCCAGGAACAAUAAUUGAUUUUCAAACGGACCCAUCAACAGAAGUGGCAAAUGAGACCGUCUUCAAGCGUCUUUUUUGGGCCUUUCGUCCGUGCAUCUCAGGUUUCGAAUUCUGCAAACCAAUUGUCCAAAUUGACGCAACUUGGUUGUAUGGUAAAUACAAGGGAACAUUGUUGUUAGCUGUUGCGCAAGAUGGGAACAACAAGAUAUUUCCCAUAGCUUUUGCAAUCGUGGAAGGCGAGACCAAGGAGGCAUGGAGUUUCUUUUUGAAAAAUUUAAGGCAGCAUGUCACCCCACAAGAGAACAUAUGCCUCAUUUCUGAUAGACAUGUGUCGAUAAAGAGCGCGUAUGAUGAUCCACAGAAUGGAUGGCACGAUGCUCCGACAAGCCAUGUUUAUUGUGUCCGACACAUUGCACAAAACUUUAUGAGAUCAUUCAAGGAUGGAGAACUAAAGAAGAAAGUUGAAUGCAUGGGUAAAAAUCAUAUCUCUUUCCACGUAAAUUCGACAUUUUAUUUGUUUAAAAUGACACAUCUAACUUUUUUCAAAACAAUGCAGGUUACGCCAUGAACAUCCCUACAUUCGAAUACUACCGUUCUGAAAUUGCUGUUGCAGACCGAAAGGCUUUAGCAUGGGUCGACAAUAUUCCCAAACAAAAGUGGACUCAAUCACAUGAUGAUGGUCGACGAUGGGGCCAUAUGACAAGUAACUUGGUAGAGUCACAAAACAACGUGUAUAAGGGUAUUCGAGGACUUCCGAUCACAGCUAUCGUGAAAGCAUCAUAUUACAGGUUGGCGGCCUUGUUUGCUAAAAGAGGACAUGAGGCAGCGGCAAGGGUAAAUUCUGGUGAGCCAUUCUCAGAAAACAGCAUGAAAUAUCUCAGGAAUGAGGUGAUUAAAUCCAACAGUCAUCAUGUCACACAGUUUGACCGGGAUCGGUAUACCUUUUCCGUCCGUGAAACCAUCGACCAUAAAGAAGGAUUGCCAAAGGGAGAAUACAAGGUGGACCUGCAAAAUAAAUGGUGUGACUGUGGACGAUUCAGAGCGUUACACCUACCAUGCUCACAUGUCAUUGCCGCAUGUUCUAGCUUUUCUCACGACUACAAGACUUUUGUCGAUAACAAAUUCACGAAUGAGUGUGUAUACGCCGUAUACAACAUCCACUUCGACGUGGUUCACCACCAGACAUAUUGGCCUAAUUAUGAAGGACUGAAGGUGGUUCCCAACAAGUCCAUGUGUAGGGUAAAGAAAGGUCGUCCACCAAUUACUCGCAUUAGGACCGAGAUGGACGAUGUGGAAACUGAGAGAAGAUGCGGCGUUUGUAGGAUGCCUGGUCAUUCCCGCAAAGAUUGCAUUAAUAUUAGACACCAGUAAAAAUCUAGUCUUUAUUUCGUUUGUAGGAUGUAUGGUCAUUUCCACAAAUAAUUGUAGAUUUUAUGGUAUUUUAUUGGUUAUAUAAUUUUAAUUAGUUUUUUAUUAUUUGAGAGUAAUUAUUACACGUUGAAUUUUUAUUUUUUUUUGUCUUCAUUAUACCACUAUACUCCAAGUAUUUAAAUUUUUUUUUAAAAAAAGCAAAAGCUAAAACGCAAGUCCAACUUGCGGGGUAGUAAAAAAAGUGGAAAAAAAAAAGGAAAGUACCCCGCAAGUCCAAGUAACGGGGUACAAUAAGGACAAAAAAUUUGUGACUUUUUAGGGUACCCCACAACUCCAAGUGGAGUGGUACCAGGGGCUUAUGAAAAAGUAGGGCAUUUGCGCAAUUUUUCGAAAAAGUGGGGCAUUUUUUUAUUAUCUUUGCAUAAACAAAGGCAGAAAAAAAAAAUUCUACUUUCUCCCCACGUUUUCUCAAAAUUUGUUUCUAAAAUAAUAAUAAAAAAAGAAAUAGUUAUUUCAGAAAGAGAAACCGUGUGAUAUUUUUUAAUUAGUGUACACCUACACUUCUCAUGUGCCUAUAAAUAAGAUGCUUAGUUGAACAUAAACUCACACUACAAAACUCUCCUCUCUCUAAAAAAUCAGGUUAGUUCUCUCUCUCUCUCUCUCUCUCUCUCCUUUUCUGAACUUUCUCUAUUCAAUCUAUAGUCAUUCUUUAUUCUUUUGAAAGAGACAAGAUUUACUACUAAAAUAACCUCAGAUUUGGUCCCCACAACCCUUCUUUUGGGAAGAACAACAACAUAGUAUACCCUUCUUUUGGGAAGAACAACAACAUAGUAUUAGAAUGUUCUUUUAUCAGAUGAGAAAGUGACAGUAGUUUAGUUCUUUUCAACCUAAUCAAACCAUGAAAAUAGUUUAGCUCUUUUCAACCAUUCUUUUUCAACAGAAACAUCAUUCAAUAAAAUAAAAUAAAGAGAUCUCAGAUCUGUUUUAGACUUUUAGUAGAAAAAAUUACACGAUUUAAUUAUUGUAUUUUUUAUACUGAUACAAACUAUGAAGAUUGAAACAAAGUUCAUAAGAAAGUUGAGAUCUUGUUUAAUUCAUAUUUUUAGUUUAAAGAAAAAUAAAGAAAUGAACAUUGUUUUAAGAAUGACGUAAUGACUAUUAAAUGGCUUUUAAACAUUCUGACUAUAUAAAAAGGUAGUAACAUAAGUUUCAUUUGAAAUAAAAUAAAAUCAAGCUAUUAUUAAAAUAUAUCUAAUAUAAUCUGAAGAAAAAAAAAGGACGUGAUACAGAGAAACAAAGGAAUUAGAAAACUUUAACUCGUUAUCUCUAUUAUUAUGACCUUGAUAAUGACUAUAGUCUAAUAGAUAGUUUAUUUUGGGUGAGUAUUCUAGGUGAUAUUGGAGCUGCUUUCGACGGAAACAAUAUUGCAACCACUUGCGAAGAAUCCGAAGGUAAGGGGAAUUACUACUAAUAAAUUUUAAAGAUUUUGCAUAAGUUAUGUGCUUAAGUGAUUAUAUGUGAGUAAAUAACUCUACUUGUGAGAGUUAAUUUCUCGAUGAUGUGGUAAUUUCUAGCGAUCAAGUACAUGUCAAAGGACAUCGACUUAUAUGUGUUUUAGUUAAUAUAAUUAGGAGUUUUUGAAAAUAUAAUACAUAAGUAGAAGAAAAAGUUUUGUAAAUGAUGAAUUGAUUAGAUAGUUAUAUUAUGUUUAUUUGGUAUUACUCUUGUGUAAGUGAAUGAGCAUAUGAAUUUCAAUAAGUGUUAACUGAUUUCGAUGAGUGAAAUUAGUUGGAAAUAUAUGAUUUAAAGUGUCAAUUAUGAUUCGACGCGAUAAUUUAUAAUGUUAAUCAUGAUUAAAAACUUCUCUAUAAAAAGAAAUGAUCUAAGAGAGAUAGUUGUAUCCCACCUCAUUAAUUUUAUGGUAUCAACUCAUAGGUAUGUUGUAAAGGAAAGAAACUUAAGAAUGCCAAACUAUGAUCACUAACUUAGUACGUAGACAUAGUAUAUAUAGUUAUAUUGUACGUGUAGGAAAUUCUUUAAAACAAAUGUAUAUGUGCUUUUUAACUAGGCAACAUGAAUUAUUCUUUGUUAAAAUCUCAUGAAUAAAAAGAACAUGUACUAGUUUAAUUGAAUUACCUAAGUUCUUACUUACUGCUGAAAUUUCUAUGCUUAUAAAUAAAUGAAAAAGAACAUAUGCUGGUCAUUAAUUGUUCAGUUAUUAUGUACUGGCUUGAUUUACUUGCUGGAAUUUCUAUGCUUAUACAUAAAUGAAGAGGGACAUAUGCUGGUUAUUAUUUGUUGAGUUAUUAUAUACUGGUUUGAUUUACAUCACUGUACUAAUUGAAUAAAAUUCUGAUGUGGCUAAUCAAUUUUAUAAACAUAAAUGGUUAAUUGUUUGACAUUGUUGAGUUGAAUAUGAGUGUUUUGUCUUGUCUAGAAAGUAGGGACAAUUAAGGAGCUAUAACAGGUCCCUAUACACUCAGGUGUAGAUGAGAAUGAGGAUAGUUAUGGUUUGGUUACUUUGAGGAUCUAUCGAGGGCACUUGUGUUUCGAACGCCUAUCAAUAGUUGGGGAUUGCUUCCCGGCUGAAAGUACUCGUACUACCAGACACGGUGAGCCUGAAAAAACUAGACUAUCUAUGAUAAGGUAGUGCGAUCGGACUAGAAUGAUUAGAGUUUAAGCAUAUCUUGCUCAAAAUACUAAUAAUCAUGAUAUAGUUGCCGAAACGGCCUUAUGCUCAUUAGAGUGGAACCUCCAUGGAGUAGUGAAUUAUGAGAAGAAAAUAAACUAGAGUCAAGAAAAAAAAAGUCAAAAGAGUUCAUGCAUGUGUCAUGUUGAAUGUCAAACUAUUAAUUCAAAUUGGACCUCUUAAAAGAUAGUUUUUUUUUUUUUUUUUUUAUAAUAUGCUUUGUGAUUGUUGUUGGACAGUGAAUGAAAAGAAAAUAUUAUAUCUAUGUAAAUAUCAUUUUACCUUGCUGUAUAUAUAUUAUUUUCUUUUUCCUUAUGUAAUAAAUCACGUGGAAAACUUGUGUACGAGUAAUUCACCCUUCUUUGUUUGUUUUUGUAUCUUGUUGUUUUUUUUGGGUAUGUUCGGACGUUUUUAUAGAUGAUGCCAGAAAGACAUUUAGCUCACUCGGGAACCCGCAUGAUCGAGUUCCUUGAGGUAUUUUCUUUUGCAACACUUAUUAAAGAAGAAAGUAAUAAUAAAUCAAAACACUCACACAAAGACGCCUCAAGACUAUUGGAAUCACCCUAUCGUAUCAAAAGCUCAUGAAUAUCCAUAAGUAAAAACUUCUCCAAAAAGAACACCAUACCCUACUCAUAGGGUGCCAUCUUAUUAAAAUCAUACCCCAUCACUGCAAUCGGAGCAAUGAUCCAACAUAAAGGAAACUUUGGUUUUCCUUCCACCAUCACCAACGAAGUUGAGCCCUCAGGCUCUCCUUGCACCCUAACAAACGAAUCACACCAAUCCUUCUUAAAGUUAGAAGCAUAAGGAGGGAAAAGUUUUUUACUAGGAUAGGCACUAAUUGAAACCCACAUUCCCUUGUUUACAUCUUUCGUCCUAUAAAAAUGGAAGAAGACGCCAACAGAAGGCUCCAAACUCAUCCUUACAAAGUAGUUUGAAUCCACGAAUAAACGCCUAGCUAUUAGGACGUAUUUGCGAAGGCGCCACAUUCAGAAACUUUAGCACAUCCAUCUCAAAAUCCGUAAAGGGUCGUCACCCCAAACUCUUCCAACACCGUCAUAUACAUAAGAAAGGAAUCAUCCCUGACACCCUCCAAACGCUGAUCGCACACUCUCUCGCCUACAUCACAGGGCGACACUGUCACAUCUUUCUCGUUCUCAGUAGCAGAAGUAUCCAUCUUGUUUCAGAAUAAAUUGAUAUCCGAAGGCGACAUAUAUGAAAACACCGCUCGAAGAACUUCUUCAGCUAAAUGAUUCAUCUCCAACUCAUAAGAAUACGUCAAACACAUAAUCUCUUUUUGAGUAGACGGAAGAGGCAUAUAAUGACAAAUCUCUUGACAAGUUUUCCCCCUACGACAAAUCACUAUCACUACCAUUAGAGCUAUCGCUACUAGUGUUGCUAUCAUUGGACAAUUCCCCUAAAACCCUACGAUAAAAAAGCCCUAAUUCGUAAGCUUCCCAAUCAAUCAAGUCAUUAGGAUGUGUUGCAUGUCUUAAAGAAUCUCUCCUCAGUUGGUCUCUCUCAUCAAAAUUCGUAGGAGAGAAGGCGAAAAAUGAGAGAAGGAAAAUGGAAGAGUACUUGAGAAGAUUGAAAACGUGAGCUUAGAAAUCCAGACAAUCAGCUGGCAAGUGCGCGAAUACGGAGAACUAAAAGGCGAAAAAUGCGGAAGUGAAAUGAGGAAAGGAAGGAAAUGAAGGGUCAAAGAGUUUUAGAGGACAACAACAAUUAAAACCCCCUCAAAAAACACGCUCAUCCUUGGCACGAUUGGAGACACGUGUCAAGAUACACCCAGAUUCGAACACGUCACUAUCAUCGAAAGGUCACACAUUUUGGACCAUACAAUCAUGUUAAAAAUGAAAGAUCUCGUCGAUAUAGAAUUUCAAAAAACUCGUUGCCAACUCCUCAAACAGGAAACUUACUCGCCGUGCUGUUACAAAUCACUUCGCCUUGUCCCAAGACUCGUGGUUGGGGGCUGUGAACAAACAUCAGGCAUAAAACGCAUGACUCGACUAGCACACACCCUAGGGGGCUCUAGGAUAAAGCAUAAUCACCCAAGGGGGACUCUGUAAGCUCCAACAACAACAUCCAAAGACAUACACAAAAAAUACUGAUAAACGUAAAAUAAAUUCCAAAUGCUAAUUAAUCAUUUCGCCUUGUCCCAAGACUCGUGCUUAGGAGGCUUUGGACCGUCAAUAUCUUCUUAAGGACCUAGAAGUCCUCCCAAAGGGCAUUUAGACCCUCCUAGAUGCCUAACACCCUUCAAAAGGGCUCUAAGGCCCAACACGCGCCCUUCCUAGGGAGCCGCCUCUACCAGCUUCUAAAACCUCCAAAGCUCGGCCUAAAUACCUAAUACGAUUACAAACCCUAAUACCUCAUUACGUAUAGCUUAAGAACCAUAAAUCAGGCCAAUAGAGGGCUAUAAAUACAACCUUUGAGAGCCUUCUGAAGGCAUGACCAAUACAUUACAAACCCUAAUACGAUUAUUGUACUUUUGCAAGUACAAUGAGGAAGGCGAUAUUGACAGGGAAAGUUUCCACCUAAUUUGGGCUAAAAACAUGGACUUUUGGGGGUAAAAAAGUCACAAAAAGUGACUUUUUUCGCAAGGAGCAGGGCGCCUAGCGCAUAAUGGCAUGCACCUAGCUCAUGUUCCUGCUAGGCUGAGGCGCCUAGUGCCCCUUUCAUGCGCCAGACGCUUCAGUUGUUUAGCUUAGGGGCACCUAUUGUGCACCUGGGUGCAUAAGUGCCUUUUCAGUGCCUUUUCAGUGCUGUUUUUCUUGUUUUCUUUGCCUUUUGAGGUGUUUUCUUCAAUGUAAGAUGUCUUGGAACUUGAGAACAAAAUUCCUUCCUUUGUAAAGACUUCUGAGGCAUCUUGAAUCUUCAUUAUUCAUCUUCCCAAGGUCCACAUAAAUCUUCAAAUGUCUUGCAUUGUCUGAUUUGCUUGAUUUCUUCGUGAAUUACUUCAACAACACCCUAAAAUUGCUAUUUUUCAGGAAGAAUAGAAUUACAAACUCAAUAUAAAAUACAUUACAAAUGUACCGAAAUCAUAGGCAAUUGAUCAAAUACUCUUCUUCUUUGCUGGUAAAACCUACUGAAAUUGACUGAAAAAUGUAACAGCCCUAUUUUCGUUAGAUUUAUUUUAAUUGUUUUAAUAUGUGUUUAUUUAUGCUUAUGUGUGAUUAUUAUCAUUGGGUGCAUUUUUAUGGGUUUUCGUGUUGGAAGGAUAAUUUAGUAAUUUCAUGUAAGGAUUAUUUUUAGUGUUUCAAGUGAGAACCAUUAUUUACUAAGUUACUAGUGUGGUAAUUAGUUGUGAGCCGGUAAGUGAUCGUUGUUAUUAUUUUACCGUUAAGGGAGUAGAAACAUUUUAGAAUUAGUGAAUUAGUGGGUUAAGCCCACUAAGGCAUUAGGGUUAAACCCAAUUGAGAAGAGCCUAUAUAAGUUCUAGAUUUUAGAGAAAAAUAGGUUUCCACUUCAUUUCAUAAGAAUUUUGAGAGAGGUAGAGAUAGAAAGUUCAAGAGAAGAGGAAAAUGGUUAGAAGGGAGAAAAGCUUGAAGACUCAAGAGGUGAUAGAGAUUCUAGGACCUAAAUUGAAGCUUUUGCUAGGAUUUUUGCUAAUUGAGGUAAGGGGGUUAGAUUUCAAUCAUAAUAACUUAGUUGUAGCUUUUACCCUAAUUUCAUGUAUAAAUGCUUAUUUGUAUAAAGUGAUUAUUAUGAAAUUAAUUGAUGAAAUUCGUGGUUAUGCUUUGAUGUGAUGUUUGGGUAUGUGAAAUUGAUGUUAAUUAAGUUGUUGAUGAAGAAUUUACAUGCUCAAGUUAUGUAUAUAUGUAUACUUGUGUUUUUGCUCAAAAUUGAUGAAGUAUAAUGUUAUUGUUGGUGAAUUGUUGAUGAAUUCACUUCUGAUUGUUGUUGUUGUGAUUGUGAGUAGUUGUUGUUGAUGAUUGAAACCUUGGGUAAUCUUAACCAUAGAGCUUGAAGUGAGUUUCUAUUGUUCUUGAAGUUUUCAUGAAAAAUAGGUCAAAUGGUAAUUUUGUUGAAAUUAUGUUGGAUUCAAGUUUUUAUAUGGAUUUGAGUGUCUUUUCAUGUUUAGACAAACUUUGGGAUCAAAUUUGGGUAUUGGGUCAAAAUUGGGAUUUUGGGGUGAAAAAUGAGUUUUUUUUUGUAGUAGAACUCCAGAAGCCUGUCACAACUCGCCAUGGCGAGCGGGAGGCGAGCAGGAGGUGCUUCCUGUGUGUUAACUCCCCAUGGCGAGUGAUUCACUCACAGGGCGAGCUGCACAGUGACAUCAUUCCCUGUUUCGCAAUCUUGCGUCUUUUUCACAUAUUUUUGUUUUGAAUUGGUCUUUGGUAUAAAUAUGAAAGUUUUAGAUAAUUGUGUUAGCUUUCCAGUGGCGUUGGUUUGACUUGAAAAUGAUUUUUGGUUUUUGAGUUAUGAUGAAAAUACUCCAAGGAGGUCUUAGUGAAAUUUUAUGAAAAUUCCGCAUAACUAUUUCUAAGUCAACCCAAAACUUAUGGAUUGUUUCCAAACUUCAAAACUUGUGUACUAUGAGUUAAAUUAAUGUGUUUAAGAGUAUUUAAGCUACGUUGUGGUGAAUUUAACUUGGUUUUGUUUUGAAAGUGAAUUGGUUUUACAUUAUGAGUAAAGCGAUACGAACUUUGCAAAACUUUGAAUUUAAGUGAGUUGGCCUAUGGGACCUUGAUGUAUACACUAUUGCACUCAUAUGUGAUUGGUGUAUAUACUUAGUUGAGGUUUCCAAAUGUGUUUACCUUGUUUUGUCGGAUAACUUGAAAAUUGGUAAAAUGAUACGAACUUGUCGUAACCUGUGAUUUUGAUGAUUUUGUCGUAGUAGGCCGGUGAAACGCACAUGUAUAUUCAACUACACUCAUAUGUGAUCUAAGUGUAUACAUAGUCGAGGCCCUAGAGUUUAUUUACUUGGUGUUAGUUCAUUUGUCUCAAUUAUUUUAAAGUUGUAAAAUGAGAGUUGAACUUUGUCAAAAAUGGUUCUUUAAAGCCAAUUACCUUAUAAAUCUUUUGUAGAUAACUUUAUAUGACUAAAUGAAGAUAUGUGAAUGAAUUUUUAAUUGUUGAAUAUGAUAUUAUCAUAAGGUGUUGCAUUUUCUCUUUACUUGGAAUAUGAUAAGUAUUUGGAAUGGUGGAACUAUACUAUAUGGUUGAUGUUGAUUAAUAUUUAUAUAUCAAUUGAUGUUGAUGAUUACUGAUAAUUAUGAUGAAAAUGUGAUGAUGACUCUUAAUUGGAUUAUGACUUUAUUGUUGUGUGGACGUAAAUAUUUGAUAAUGCAAUUGUUGUUGAUGUUAUCCUUUAUAUUGUUGUUGAAUAUUUAUGAGGUGAUUUUGCAUUGUCAAGUCUUUCCUUGUAUGUCCAUGCAUCAUAGUCAUGUUGAGUCUUGAUGUUGUAAAGGAGGGUUACUCUUUUACUUUGGUGAUAAUGUAAGACGGGUGUGAAAUUUUACAUAUGAUGUUUUUGUUGCAUCAUGUGUGACGACCUUGAGGUGAUUUGGUACCACAUGCAUAUAUGUGUCGGGAUUAGGCACAUAUCAUAUUGGCGUGAGUCUUAAUUGAUGUAUUUGAAUGAUGAUUGAUGAUGAUAAGUGUGUUUGAUGAAUACAUACUUGUGAUAUUUAGAAUUGUUGCAUGAAUGUGUAUAUGGAAGUUAAUUGCUCAUGAUUAAUUAAUUGAUACUUGAUUUGAUUCAUUUAUGUCUAACUAUUUAUGUGGAUUAUGAUUGUUGUAAAGCUUACCCCUAGUGGUUUUGACCACCUACCUGUCUAUAUGGAUGGGUAGACGAAGUGCAAGAUUAGUCGCUUUGGUGAGUUGCUUGGUGAUUGCUUAGAUAGAGGGAGUUAUCUCCGUUAUCGUUUCCUUAGAGUCUUAGGAUAGGCUCUGAUCUAGGAUGUAUGUCUUAUGAUUAUUCUAGAUUGUUUAUUUUGGAUUUAUUUGUGUUGUGGAGAUUUACCCAAUUGUCGGAAUUUGAAGAAUUUUUAUGUUGAUGUAUUUUGACCUCAUGGCAUGUAUACUUUUGAAGUGUAUGGUUUAUAUCCGCUGCAACGGUAUAGAAUUUUUAUAUAUGCUUGUUAUUUGAACAUUGUUGAUGAUGUGGCGUCUAUUUCUUGGAUAUUUAUAUUAUUCGCGUGUUUUAUUGCUUUAAUAGAAAUAGGGCGCUACAAAAAACAUGCUAAAAAUAACGUAAGAUGUCCUGUCAUCAUACAACGAUUGAGAAAAAGAUAAAGAUUGUCUAAUACCCAAGACUUCUUACAUAACUAUUUCAUCAAAGCAGAAUAGUUCAAAAACUGGAAGGUGUGGGUUUUCAUGACCUAGGAAUACAGGUAGCUCAAGUGAUGACAACAUAAUUUAUGGGAAAUAUGAGAAUCAUCAAGUCUGUGGUAAUGUCAAAUGGAUUCUCAAUCAGAAAAGAAUGCAGAACCUUUAUCCCAGACUUUCCCUCGAUCAUCCAAGAACCAAAUACCAAAGAUCUAGCAGACCUAGUGUCACAAGCUUCUGAAGAUCUAAUCUGACAUGGACCAUGCUCCUAGGGCAUGGACCAUGCACCUAGGGUAGGGUGCGUUUCACAGUCACAUGCGCCUAGGGCAUGGAGUGUGCUCCCUGAGAACUAAAAAAGUGUGGGGCAAAAUUGAUUUUUUUUCGACUUUUGUGUUGUUAUUUUAUGUUGUGAUUUUCUCAGAUUGGAGUGGAGGUAGGAUGUGAGAGUUCAACAGAUCACCAUUUGUAUGACUGAACAGACUAUUCAGAAAAUCUGAAUCAGUGUUUUGAUAAAUGGUUUAGCUAGAGGGUAAUGAUAUAGGUGGCGAAGGAAUAAUGAUGGAUGGUACUGAAGAAAUGUUAACAUAUUAUGUAAGCUCAAGAUCAAUACCUUUUGUAUUAUGAGAUUCUUCUGCUUUGCCUGGUGAGGUUGGCUCAACGGUAGCUGUUGUGAGGUUGGCUCAACGGUAGCUGCUUCUGUGACUAGCAUGCUGACUUCUUCUGCUUGCUUCUGUUGCUUCUCUUGGUUCUCACACUCAUCUACAUCGAUGAAUAUUAGAUGACACAAAUCUUCCUUAGCAUGUACAUUCUUCUUCCUUUCUGGUGAGGGAAUGAGUGAGUGAAUAGUACCAGAGUUCCUUGUGAGCUUGGAAAAAUCCGUUUUGUAGACAGAUCACAAAGUCACAUACUCUUAAUUUGUCUCUGAGUCGGUUUUGGAUUGCCUCGUCUUUUUGGGUGCUUGAGAAACUUUCUCAUCACCUUUCCUCUUAACCUCGACUUUCUUUAACUUCUUUGUUGGAGGAGAUGUUGUGACUUUGGAUGAUUUCCUCUUAUUCUUCUUGUUGUCUGCAGUUUCUGAGUCACCAGGAGUUUAAUCCGGAAAGAACUAAUCCGCAACUAAUUACUAAUAUUUUUCAUUGAAAAAAAAUAAUUUUAAAUAAGACUGGUACCUUGGUCUGUUGUAAAUUUGUAAGAACUAAUUUGACAGACAAUGAUAUAACUCAAAGACUAAUUUAUUUGUAAGUGCAAUAAUUUUGUUACUAAUUUUUGACCGUAAAUAACACACAAGUUAGCAGAAGGACCAAGUUGUUCAAUAUAAUUCAAAAUGUGAUUGUUUUUGCCAUGGCAUCCCCCAGUUUUUCUAUAAUUACACAAGAUUCCCUUUGUCUCGAUGGUUAGGAAGUACAAUUUUCUUUUGGAUGUCUCGUGUCUGAGUCCUAAUUCCCCUCAUUUUUAUAUUUCUAUUAUAUUAUAUUUUAAAUUUUAUUAAAAAAAUGUUCUUGAGGGGGAAUCGAACACGCACCACUACACUGAAUUCUAGCAAAAAACUGACCCCUAGACCGGUUACUGAUCUGAAGAAUAUUAUGAAACAACUAAACAUAUAUUCCAUAAAUUUUGGCACCCCCAAGAUAAAAACUCAAGAUCCGCCAUUGCCUAACUCAAGGUCCUAAAUACGCCACUACCAUUAACUAUAAUUAAUAAGAGUGUUUUAGAAAAUGAAACAUAUUUUGAACAUAUUUCUUAUCAUUUCUUUAACAAUUAUGUAAAACUCAAAAGGAACCCUUAAUUUGAGACAGAGGAUAUAUAAUAAUCGAUGAAGUUUAAUAUCUGCAAAAAAGUGUUAUUAAGUGAAGUAAACUUAACAAGGGUGACACUUGUUUUCUUUUGGUAAGGUGUGGGAGCACUCUUGACUGAGUUUCUAUUUUUUUUUUUUAUAUUCUUUUGAAAGUUGUAGUGGUGUAAUUGGGUGGUUAGUUGAAGUAAUUUUCGUUUUGGUUCUUGCUUGAUCUAUUUUGCAUUGUGAAAUUUCAAUUCUUAGUUUGCUUUCUACAUUGACGGAGUUGCUAAGUUGCAAUCAAACUUUUGAGUGUGUAUUAAUUAUAACAGUAAGAGUGUUGCUAGCACUACUCUUAUAUAAAAUCAGAUGUAUUUUUAAAUUUAUUUAUUUAUUUUUUUUUUUUUAAUUUCUACGAAAGUGGUGCACUUUUCCAUGAAUAUGCUUUUAGUGCAACUCCUUACCAAUGUAGUCAAACAAUUUCUUAAAACUCAUUGUUAUUAGUCAUUUCGAAACAAUGUAUUCACCAAGACAAAGGAGUGGGUGGAAGGAUAAUGGGUGCAUGCACAAUCAAGAAAAAGUUAGGUGAACAUUACAAUCAAAAUAUAUAGCAUAGAGCAUCAAAAUUUAUCGUAUGAAACAAUGUUUUUCUAAAAUAUGAAUGUGAACAAAUAACCCUUCAACUCAUAAGAUGAUCUUUAAUAUAUAGAAUUAGAAAGUUAGAGUAUCAGUACACCGAAAUUUAUAUAUUCAAAAGUGAGGCGUAGUUGGUUUUCCUCUUUAUGUAGUAUAGUUCGGUUUUUCCAUUUUAUUAUGGUACUUAUUCCUAUCAAAUUGAUAAAUCAGCUUUAUCUUAUAAUUGAUUUAACUAAUGAUGACUUGAACAUCAAUAUUAUAUAUUCGGAUAUACGAGUACUUCAUCGUGCUCUUAAUUUAGAGAUGUUUUGAGUUUGUUUACAAAUUGAAUCUUUGAAUUUUAGACAUAGAACUUGUACUCUUUUAGAUAUAAUAUACCGAUUUGAAUGGAUAAAUACCGUAAUUCCAAACAUAUAUUUUUUUUUCACACACAUACCUCAUCCAUUACGAAACGCAGGAACUAAAGCUAUAUAAUAUAGUGAAGCUAAUUUAAUAAAAAAUAUAUAUAUUUGGUGAUGCUAAACUCAGUCUAACUUAAUGCCAGUUCAAAAGGAACACUGUGGUAUGGAGGAAUUCUUUGUUUUGCAUUUAUAAAUGGCAACUAUACCCUAUUAAUCAUCAUCAUAAAAAUAAUUUUUAUAAUGUAUGAGACCAAGUUUCACGUCUCUAUUAUUUUUCAUCAUUUUUUAGAAUUGUACGAUCUUGUACCAGAUCUUCGUUUAGUUAUGAUGAUAGCAACCACUCUCACUGAAAAAUUAUAUAAUAACAUUUUUUUGGCAUAUUUAAUUACUGAUCCUGUCGGUGUAUUAUUGUAAAAUUAGGCAAUUUGUCCAAUCAAUUCACACAUAAUUUCAAACCUGGCAACUAUAUAAAAACAAAAUCAUAGGUAAAUAAUGUAGAAAAUCACCAACAACCCUUGAAUUUUGUUACAAGAAAGGGCCAAGUCAUCACCUUAUCAAGAUUGUGAGUGGAUUCACAAAGAUCACGACUAGUAUAAAAGGAGGAAGUCACUCUUGUGUUUUCUGCACCAAACUCAUAAGUCACUAACAUGGCUUCCUCAAACUUCCUAGUGCUGCUUCUUUUUGCUCUAUUUGCCAUUCCUCAGGGUCUUGCCAAUUAUGAGAAGCCUCCGGUUUACCAACCACCGGUGUAUAAGCCACCAGUUGAGAAACCCCCGGUCUACAAACCCCCUGUAGAAAAGCCACCAGUAUAUAAGCCACCAGUAGAGAAGCCUCCAGUUUACAAACCACCGGUGUACAAGCCACCUGUGUACAAACCCCCAGUAGUGAAACCCCCAGUCUACAAACCUCCUGUUUACAAGCCACCGGUGUACAAGCCACCAGUUUACAAACCACCAGUAGAGAAGCCCCCAGUUUACAAGCCACCUGUAUACAAACCCCCAGUAGUGAAACCCCCAGUCUACAAACCUCCUGUUUACAAGCCACCAGUUGAGAAGCCUCCAGUUUACAAGCCACCAGUAGUGAAGCCACCUGUUUACAAGCCCCCAGUCUACAAGCCACCAGUAGUGAAGCCACCUGUAUACAAGCCUCCAGUCUACAAGCCACCCGUUUACAAGCCUCCAGUUGAGAAGCCUCCGGUCUACAAGCCACCUGUUUACAAGCCCCCAGUUGAGAAACCUCCAGUCUACAAGCCACCGGUUUACAAGCCUCCAGUCGAGAAGCCACCAGUUUACGGACCUCCUCACCACCCAUAGGACUCUCGGAUG